rnacentral:rRNA from 1 species
GUAGUCCACGCCGUAAACGAUGAGUGCUAAGUGUUAGAGGGUUUCCGCCCUUUAGUGCUGAAGUUAACGCAUUAAGCACUCCGCCUGGGGAGUACGGCCGCAAGGCUGAAACUCAAAGGAAUUGACGGGGGCCCGCACAAGCGGUGGAGCAUGUGGUUUAAUUCGAAGUAACGCGAAGAACCUUACCAGGUCUUGACAUCCUCUGAAAACUCUAGAGAUAGAGCUUCUCCUUCGGGAGCAGAGUGACAGGUGGUGCAUGGUUGUCGUCAGCUCGUGUCGUGAGAUGUUGGGUUAAGUCCCGCAACGAGCGCAACCCUUGAUCUUAGUUGCCAUCAUUAAGUUGGGCACUCUAAGGUGACUGCCGGUGACAAACCGGAGGAAGGUGGGGAUGACGUCAAAUCAUCAUGCCCCUUAUGACCUGGGCUACACACGUGCUACAAUGGACGGUUCAAAGAGCUGCAAGACCGCGAGGUGGAGCUAAUCUCAUAAAACCGUUCUCAGUUCGGAUUGUAGGCUGCAACUCGCCUACAUGAAGCUGGAAUCGCUAGUAAUCGCGGAUCAGCAUGCCGCGGUGAAUACGUUCCCGGGCCUUGUACACACCGCCCGUCACACCACGAGAGUUUGUAACACCCGAAGUCGGUGGGGUAACCUUUAUGGAGCCAGCCGCCUAAGGUGGGACAGAUGAUUGGGGUGAAGUCGUAACAAGGUACC